UCAUAUGCUUGUCUCAAAGAUUAAGCCAUGCAUGUCUAAGUGCAUGCCGCAUUAAGGUGAAACCGCGAAUGGCUCAUUAAAUCAGUUAUGGUUCCUUAGAUCGUACCAUCCUACUUGGAUAACUGUGGUAAUUCUAGAGCUAAUACAUGCCGACCAGCUCCGACCCUCGUGGGGACGAGCGCUUUUAUUAGAACAAGACCAAUACGGAUCGCCGUCAAAAAACGGUCCGUCUCCCCUUUUGGUGACUCUGGAUAACUUGGAGCAGAUCGCACGGUCCUCGCACCGGCGACGCAUCUUUCAAAUGUCUGACUUAUCAACUGUCGAUGGUAGGUUAUAUGCCUACCAUGGUUGUAACGGGUAACGGGGAAUCAGGGUUCGAUUCCGGAGAGGGAGCCUGAGAAACGGCUACCACAUCCAAGGAAGGCAGCAGGCACGCAAAUUACCCACUCCCGGCACGGGGAGGUAGUGACGAAAAAUAACAAUACGAGACUCUUCCGAGGCCUCGUAAUUGGAAUGAGUACACUUUAAAACCUUUAACGAGGAUCUAUUGGAGGGCAAGUCUGGUGCCAGCAGCCGCGGUAAUUCCAGCUCCAAUAGCGUAUAUUAAAGUUGUUGCGGUUAAAAAGCUCGUAGUUGGAUCUCGGUGCCGGACCGGCGGUCCGCCUCGUUUGCGGUACACUGCCGGCCCCGGGGCCAUCCCGCCGGUUUUAUCCCUCGGUGCUCUUCGCUGAGUGUCUUGGGUGACCGGAACGUUUACUUUGAACAAAUUAGAGUGCUCAAAGCAGGCGCGUACCCGCCCGCAUAGCCCAGCAUGGAAUAAUGGAAUAGGACCUCGGUUCUAUUUUGUUGGUUUUUAGGAACCCGAGGUAAUGAUUAAUAGGGACAGACGGGGGCAUUCGUAUUGCGACGCUAGAGGUGAAAUUCUUGGACCGUCGCAAGACGAACUACUGCGAAAGCAUUUGCCAAGAAUGUUUUCAUUAAUCAAGAACGAAAGUUAGAGGUUCGAAGGCGAUCAGAUACCGCCCUAGUUCUAACCAUAAACGAUGCCGACCAGCGAUCCGCCGGAGUUCCUCCGAUGACUCGGCGGGCAGCUUCCGGGAAACCAAAGUGUUUGGGUUCCGGGGGAAGUAUGGUUGCAAAGCUGAAACUUAAAGGAAUUGACGGAAGGGCACCACCAGGAGUGGAGCCUGCGGCUUAAUUUGACUCAACACGGGGAAACUCACCCGGCCCGGACACCGGAAGGAUUGACAGAUUGAGAGCUCUUUCUUGAUUCGGUGGGUGGUGGUGCAUGGCCGUUCUUAGUUGGUGGAGCGAUUUGUCUGGUUAAUUCCGAUAACGAACGAGACUCUAGCCUGCUAAAUAGCUGGCCCAUACGAUCGGUGUGCCGUCUGUCGGCCAACCUUCCGCCGGGAUGUUCGCGUUUCGGUGGCGAGGGGGGUCGCGCGGUCUCCGGAGUGGGUCACUCGCUUCUUAGAGGGACAAGCGGCGCUCAGCCGCGCGAGAUUGAGCAAUAACAGGUCUGUGAUGCCCUUAGAUGUCCGGGGCCGCACGCGCGCUACAAUGGAAGGUUGAGCAGGUAUCGUUUCCCUAGUCCUAGAGGACCGGGUAACCCUGUGAGAUCCUUUCUUGGUUGGAAUCGGGGCCUGGAACCAACCCCGUGAACUAGGAAUUCCUAGUAGGCGCGAGUCAUCAACUCGCGCCGAUUACGUCCCUGCCCUUUGUACACACCGCCCGUCGCUACUACCGAUUGAAUGAUUUAGUGAGGUCUUCGGACUGGCGGUCGCGGCGGCUCUCGGGUCGCGGUGGCGUGCCGGGAAGAUGACCGAACUUGACCAUUUAGAGGAAGUAAAAGUCGUAACAAGGUUUCC
rnacentral:rRNA from 1 species